GCGCCGGUUUAGCUCAGUGGUUACUUCCACACAUCCAUCCCUCCGGGGAUCGAACCACGGGUGCUGUCCGGUGUUUUC
rnacentral:vault_RNA from 1 species